GAAAUGCGAUAAGUAAUGUGAAUUGCAGAAUUCAGUGAAUCAUCGAAUCUUUGAACGCACCUUGCGCUCCUUGGUAUUCCUUGGAGCAUGCCUGUUUGAGUAUCAUGAAAUCUUCAAAGUAAAUCUUUUGUUAACUCAAUUGGUUUCUACUUUGGUAUUGGAGGUCUUUGCAGCUUCACACCUGCUCCUCUUUGUUCAUUAGCUGGAUCUCAGUGUUAUGCUUGGUUCCACUCGGCGUGAUAAGUUAUCUAUCGCUGAGGACACUCUAAAAGGUGGCCAAGGUAAAUGCAGAUGAACCGCUUCUAAUAGUCCAUUGACUUGGACAAUACUUUUAUGAUCUGAUCUCAAAUCAGGUAGGACUACCCGCUGAACUUAAGC
rnacentral:misc_RNA from 1 species